ACUUGGAUAGCUCAGUGGGUAGAGUGUGAUUCUCCUAAUCUCAGGGUUGUGGGUUUGAGCCCCAUGUUGAGCA